UGGGGAAUUUUGGACAAUGGACGCAAGUCUGAUCCAGCCAUGCCGCGUGCGGGAAGAAGGCCUUCGGGUUGUAAACCGCUUUUGUCAGGGAAGAAACGAGUUUCUCUAAUACAGAGACUUAAUGACGGUACCUGAAGAAUAAGCACCGGCUAACUCUGUGCCAGCAGCCGCGGUAAUACAGAGGGUGCAAGCGUUAAUCGGAAUUACUGGGCGUAAAGCGUGCGCAGGCGGUUAUGUAAGACAGAUGUGAAAUCCCCGGGCUCAACCUGGGAACUGCAUUUGUGACUGCAUAGCUAGAGUACGGCAGAGGGGGAUGGAAUUCCGCGUGUAGCAGUGAAAUGCGUAGAUAUGCGGAGGAACACCGAUGGCGAAGGCAAUCCCCUGGGCCUGUACUGACGCUCAUGCACGAAAGCGUGGGGAGCAAACA
rnacentral:rRNA from 1 species